rnacentral:rRNA from 1 species
UACGGAGGAUGCAAGCGUUAUCCGGAAUGAUUGGGCGUAAAGCGUCCGCAGGUGGCUGUUCAAGUCUGCUGUCAAAGACCGGGGCUUAACUUCGGAAAGGCAGUGGAAACUGAACAGCUAGAGUAUGGUAGGGGCAAAGGGAAUUCCUGGUGUAGCGGUGAAAUGCGUAGAUAUCAGGAAGAACAUCGGUGGCGAAGGCGGUCUGCUGGGCCAUAACUGACACUCAGGGACGAAAGCGAGGGGAGCGAAUGGG